rnacentral:rRNA from 1 species
CCCUUAGAUGUUCUGGGCUGCACGCGUGCUACACUGAUAUUGCCAAUAUGUCAUUCUUAUCCGAAAUGGAUUGGGUAAUCAAGUAAUGAAAUUUCAUGCUUGGAAUCGGUAAUUGCAAUUUUAUCGUGAACGAGGAAUUCCUAGUAAGCACUAGUCAUCAGCUAAUGUUGAUUAUGUCCCUGCCCUUUGUACACCCCGCCCGUCGCUACUACUGAUUGGGUGUUCAAGUGAGAUGCUUAGACCCUUGUUGCAUGGUUCAUUAUUGUGCUCCGAAAGGAAAAAGUUUCAAGCUUGAGUGUCUAGAGGAAGUAAAAGUCGUAACA